GCACCGCCUUCCCGACUCUUUGCAGACAUCUCACCAGAACUGAGUGACGAGGUAAAGAAAACACUGAGAGAUAUCAUUUCACCUUGAUGAUAGAAGGCAGAUGGGGAAUGGCUUCUAACCUCAGGAGUCUCGGGCUCAUCGGGAGAGCUCUGGAUAAAGAUGUGCCACUUCAGCUUGAGCACCCUGCGCGGUUUGGGUGUCGGUAAAUCGAUCUUCGAAGAACAGAUCGGAACAGAGGCAGAGGAGUUGAUUCAAGCAAUGGCAGCCUUCAACGGCAAACCUUUCAACCCGAAGCCCCAUCUGGCCGGCGCAGUGUCCAACGUCAUCUGCUCCGUCACCUUCGGUCAGCGCUACCAGUACGAUGGCCAAGACUUCCAACGACUCCUAGCCUUGGAGAGCAGCCUCGUCUUAAACUUGGGAAUAGGCGCGGGUUCUUCUUUUUUCGGCCAUGUGGGUGCUAGGCUACCGUUCCUGAGAUCCGAGCUCCAACGACUGGAAACCGAUCACAAUCAAAUCCUGGGGUGAUAUUUAUGAUACAGAUGUACAAUCUAUAACACGUAUUACUUUUUUGCAGAAUUUUACAUGAGAACGGCAUAUUUGGCUUUUAAAAAUAUUUUUGACUACUGUUGAACAAAUUUUGGUCUUUCGGAAGUUUGUGAUAUUCAUAACAAUCCGCCUGGGCAAAAGAGGGGGGGGUAUAUACCCCCACCACCCAAGAAUUUAAGCCCAUGGCUCCGUGAAUCUGAUAUUGAACACGUUAAAUUAUAUUGGAUAUCGUCAUCUUUUGUCCACUCCUGCCUACGUACUGCUGGUGGUAUUCCGGUUAAUUCACUAGUAACGUAUCAAGGUUUGGAGUUGUGAGUUUUAUGAAACUUGGUUGUGAGAGAUUUGGGUGUCUUAUAGGAUUAUUGUAGACCACUUUAAUUUUGCCAAUUUGUAUGGGCGGCCAAGGUUUGCAUUUGCAAAGUUGAUUUAACCUCAAAUUGUUCAAAAUUUGUCCCAUUGGUAUUUUGUAGUACAUGUAUUAUUAUCUGGUGUUCUUAAAGCAGCGUAUAUUGUUUUAAUUUUGUACCGACUGCCGCCCUUAGUUUUAGCAGCUACUUGUAAGAAAAGCACAAAUGUGACGUCAAAAAAACAGACCUAUAGCAGUGAAAUUGUCGGCUCGCAUGGUUGUUUUUCUCCCAGAACAAUGAUAUAUACCGAAUAUUUGACCGUUUAAAAUAAACAAAAGUUGUGAAGACGAAGAUUACAAGGCUAUAAUAAGCUGUGCAAACUUCUAUGUACUUACUUAAAGGAUAAAUUUAAUUGACCUCAAACUUCAAAAGUGUAAUUGUAUAAGGAGUACCUCUAUACAUCUAUCAAGUUUUUGAAAAUUGAGCAUGGUACAGCCGAGUUCAAAGGGGGACGGCGGAGUCCACCUCAACCCAGCUUAAGAGUGGCCAAAAUAACCCGGCUCUUUAAAAAAAAAAAUUAGUGAACUAGUUUUGUGUAAAACCGAUCCCUGGAUGUGGCUUGCUUACCAGUUCAUAUGACUACGGGAAAUGAGUGGUACGAGAAGAUAAGGGUUAAAAUGCCUUUUGGACAAGAUGAAAGUCUAGAAGAGCCAAAAAUAACCAUUGGCGACCGUGUGAUCUGCUUUUCAAAUGUUGUAGCUGCUUUUAUGGAAAUCGACCGUAUUAAUUUAAAUUUACCGGUGAUCGUUUUCGAAUCAUCAUUUUUCUGCAAACUGUAUAGAAUGUUUUGUAGUUCGAAUAAAUCAAAUGAAA